AACGUAUGUUCCACAGGCAAAAAAUGGUCAAGACCACGAGUUGAAAGUUUCCCUGCAAUGCCUCAGAGGAAAGAAUGCUGAUAUUUCUCUAGAAGCAGCUGAAAUCCAUGACUAUACCGAAAACUUGCGUCGCAGCAUGGAAGAUAAAAUUCAGGAUUUGUUCAGUCUAAAAUACGCUUCUUCGGUCAUUGUUGGAGUUGGCUUGAUGCUCCUACAACAACUAGGAGAUUACAAAGGAUUUGCCUAUUGUGCUAACAGCAUUUUUUAUUUAGCUGGAUUUCCAGGCACUAUAGGAAUUAUAGCGGUUGCAGUAACGCAGGUGCUUUUAUCUAUUUGCAUUUGUAACAUUUGAUUCAAAACUCAUCCUGGUGUGGUCUUUGAUAAUGUUCAUAUUUUCAAGCAUUUCUGGGGUAGCUAUCAUUUUUCAUCGCACGGUUGGUGCCGGAGACCAAGGGGAGAACACUAGAAGAAAUUCAAGCAUCGAUGACUGCAAAUGUAGGGUAAGAAAUCUAGAAUAACAGGUCAUGUUGAGAGAUUCAUGAUGAAAUGCAAA